rnacentral:rRNA from 1 species
GGGCAACCCAGUAAAGCGGCGUAAGGGUGAGUAAUAGGUAGCUAACGUACCCUCCAGACGCGAAUAAUUUCCCGAAAGGGAUUGUAAUGCGCGAUGAGACCACGCCUCCUUCGGGAGGAGGGGUCAAAGGCCGGGGACCCUUCGGGGCCCGACGGCUGGGGGAGCGGGCGACCUCCGAUUAGCUAGUUGGCGGGGUAACGGCCCACCAAGGCGAUGAUCGGUAGCCGGGCUGAGAGGCUGUCCGGCCACACUGGCACUGAGACACUGGCCAGACUCCUACGGGAGGCUGCAGUCGCGAAUUUUUCACAAUGGGCGCAAGCCUGAUGAAGCCACGCCGUGUGCGGGAUGAAGGCUCUCUGAGUUGUAAACCGCUGUCAAGUGGAGGGAACUGUACGGUGUUAACAGCGCCGUGCUUGACUGUCCGCUAAAGGAAGCCCCGGCUAAACAUGUGCCAGCAGCCGCGGUAAUACAUGUGGGGCAAGCGUUGUUCG